UACGUAGGGUGCAAGCGUUAAUCGGAAUUACUGGGCGUAAAGCGUGCGCAGGCGGUUUUGUAAGUCUGUCGUGAAAUCCCCCGGGCUCAACCUGGGAAUUGCGAUGGAGACUGCAAGGCUAGAAUCUGGCAGAGGGGGGGGUAGAAUUCCACGUGUAGCAGUGAAAUGCGUAGAGAUGUGGAGGAACACCGAUGGCGAAGGCAGCCCCCUGGGUCAAGAUUGACGCUCAUGCACGAAAGCGUGGGGAGCAA
rnacentral:rRNA from 1 species